AUUGAACGCUGGCGGCAUGCUUUACACAUGCAAGUCGAACGGUAACAGGGUGCUUGCACCGCUGACGAGUGGCGAACGGGUGAGUAAUGCGUCGGAACGUGCCGAGUAGUGGGGGAUAACGCAGCGAAAGUUGUGCUAAUACCGCAUACGUACUGAGGUAGAAAGUGGGGGACCUUCGGGCCUCACGCUAUUCGAGCGGCCGACGUCUGAUUAGCUAGUAGGUGAGGUAAAGGCUCACCUAGGCGACGAUCAGUAGCGGGUCUGAGAGGAUGAUCCGCCACACUGGGACUGAGAAACGGCCCAGACUCCUACGGGAGGCAGCAGUGGGGAAUUUUGGACAAUGGGCGAAAGCCUGAUCCAGCCAUGCCGCGUGUCUGAAGAAGGCCUUCGGGUUGUAAAGGACUUUUGUCAGGGAGGAAAUCCCUAGUGCUAAUAACACUGGGGGAUGACAGUACCUGAAGAAUAAGCACCGGCUAACUACGUGCCAGCAGCCGCCGUAACAC
rnacentral:rRNA from 1 species